UUUUCAUUUUUCCUUCUGGUUAUUUGCAUUGCAAACAUGAUAAAUUGUUGCAUUUUCAAAGUGAAAAUCAAAUCGAAAGGAUUAUUUCUGGUUAAAAUUUAACCAAAGUGAACCAAACAUUGUUUUGUGUUGGAUUAGUCAAAAAAUCAGGAUUGCAGGAUUUAUCCAAUUUAAAUGUCUUGUUGCCACCAUAAUCAUCAGCAUUUGCUUCAUCUUGUUUCACUCUUGAUUUAAUUUGGAUUUUUUCCUUCAGUCUCCAUGUUCAAUCAACAUUUUUGUCAUCAACUUUUGUGUUUCCAGUCAAACUAAUCAAUAUAUUUGACCAAAACGUUCAACAAUCUGACAAUCCGCUGACAAUCCCAUGAACCGAAUAAAGUUUGAUGAAGCAAAAUCAGAAGCAUUCGGAGUGAAAAUGUUUCAUGGAAACCCAGUUGUCUGACUUUUCCAAGGAUUAUUUAAACAUUAUCAUUUGGAUUGCAUUUUUACCCAUUUUUCUGGUUCAAGAUUGGGUUAACUGACUGUUUGUGAAUGGUGAUCAUGUUUAUUGGUUUUACCAUUGUGAUAUGGUUAAUUACAACAAUUUGAAUAAAGUGAUUAAGCUCAAUGACGACAUCCAUUGAGGAUAAUUCAACCCUUGAAUCAAGUGAAACCCUUUACGAUGAUUUAUACUCUGAGACUAGCUUUGCGACAACCCUUUUGGUAUCGGUUUAUGCAACUAUGUUGAUCUGUGUUGUACUACUUUUUACACGAAUCAUUUAUAUUGCUGUUGUCCGUAGCUUUAAUCGUCCACUUCGUCCAAAUCCAUCCUUUAUAAUUAGCUCAUCAGAUGGGCCAACAUGUAAUGAUAGCUGAAAACAGUUAAUACCAAUCAACACUUGCAAGUGCUACCAACCAGAAAAAGGGAAACAGAGAGACCAUCAUCUAACUACCAUUAAUUUAAACCCAAAACCAGCAUAAAGACAUAAUACAUCUUUAAAUAACCAGAAAUGGUUUACCCAAAAGAAGGUUUGAUUUGUAUUUUCAAUUCAAUUUCAACCUUUUUACUCUCUUCUUCCAAUUCAACAAUCUGGAUCAUUUAACUUCACCAUUAACCACAUAAUUCAAUCACGUUUUAAUCAUGUUUUCAAUACAAUCCAUCAUGGAUUUUGGUCCAAAAGCAAAACCUAAAAUGAACAAAAACAGUGUAACAUUGGAAAUUUGUUUGUGUCUUUCAACUUCUAAACAAGCCUAAUUGUGACGAUAACUUUGAUUAACUUAAUGAUUAUGUUAAGCCAAACGGAAAUUAAGAUGUAAUAUUAAAGUAAAGAUCAAAUGGUCUAAUUUUACCAAAGGAUAUUUGAUAUUGUUGGCAAGCUUCAUGUUAACGGUUAAACCAUUAAAUUGGAUCAAAAUGGAUCAACCUUUCAGUUUAAUUUUUUAACAAACCUUAAGAAAGCAAUUAAAAGCACAAAUGACCAAAAAUUAACCCAAAUUUGUAAAUAAUAGUUAAUUGUAAUUUAUAUUGUAAAUAAGAAGCAUCAACAAUCAUGUUUACCGGAUAACUGAAAAAGGAGACCUAAAUGUGUUUACCAGGAAAAUGAACCAGAUUGGCCAACAACGAUUGACCAGGAAAAGCAAAGCCAACAACUAAACAUGAGAACCGGAAAUUUUGUACAUAAUAAUGAAAAAACUGGUUAAACAACCAGAAGAUUGUCCAAUCAUACAAUAAGGUGAUAAAUAAAUGUACAUUAAAUAGAGUCUAUUGUUUAAUAAAAUUAUCAUCUUCACUCCAUUGGUA